rnacentral:rRNA from 1 species
AACUACGAUUAGAUACCCUAUUAUAAUAUCUGUAGAAUAAAAAUCUAGAGUACUAUUAGUUAUAAUCUUUAAACUCAAAGAAUUUGGCGGUAUUUUAGUCUUGUCAGAGGAAUUUGUCCUAUAAUCGAUAAUCCUCGUUAUAAUAUACUUAAUUUAUAAGCUUAUAUACCGCUGUCGAAAAAAUAACUUUAGAAAGUUUAUUAAAAAAUAAAAUAGUAUAAAAUGACAAGUCAAGGUGUAGUUUAUGAUUAAGAAGAGAUGAAUUACAAUAAUAGUAAUUAAACGGAAAUUAAAUGAAAUUGAAAUAGAAGGUGGAUUUGACUGUAAUAACAAAUAGAAUAUUAUUAUGAGUAAGCUCUAAAAUAUGUACACAU